rnacentral:rRNA from 1 species
GACGAACGCUGGCGGCGUGCCUAAUACAUGCAAGUUGAGCGCUGAAGGUUGGUCCUUGUACCAACUGGAUGAGCAGCGAACGGGUGAGUAACGCGUGGGGAAUCUGCCUUUGAGCGGGGGACAACAUUUGGAAACGAAUGCUAAUACCGCAUAAAAACUUUAAACACAAGUUUUAAGUUUUAAAGAUGCAAUUGCAUCACUCAAAGAUGAUCCCGCGUUGUAUUAGCUAGUUGGUGAGGUAAAGGCUCACCAAGGCGAUGAUACAUAGCCGACCUGAGGGGGGGAUCGGCCACAUUGGGACUGAGACACGGCCCAAACUCCUACGGGAGGCAGCAGUAGGGAAUCUUCGGCAAUGGACGAAAGUCUGACCGAGCAACGCCGCGUGAGUGAAGAAGGUUGUCGGAUCGUAAAACUCUGUUGGUAGAGAAGAACGUUGGUGAGAGUGGAAAGCUCAUCAAGUGACGGUAACUACCCAGAAAGGGACGGCUAACUACGUG